UCGGAAAAUAGCUCAGCUUGGUAGAGCACAUCGUUCGGGACGGUGGGGUCGCAAGUUCGAAUCUUGUUUUUCCGAU
rnacentral:tRNA from 1 species